rnacentral:misc_RNA from 1 species
GGGCAUGAUAGGAGAAAAACUUAGUUCUCUUAAUUGCAGCCACCAGAGGUGUGACAACCUUUGACAAGACAUCCAAAAAAAUUUGAGCAUGCCAUAAAGAGCAGUGGUUUAACACGUUGGAACCAUCACCACAUUGUGUUGUAGCCAAUCAGCUUCAGAUCAUAUCUUUCUUAACAUGAGCCUGACAUUUUCAGAUGCUUCAAGAUUCCAUUGGCAUGCCACUAGUUUUUUGUUCCACCGGUUGAGGUGACUGGUCCUCUCUGCCGAUUAACUGCACGAGGCACAAAUGACAAUCCACGAGCCCUACUGCGGCCAAAGCUGAUUGCUGAAGGAGAAUCCGAAGUGGUUAAUUUCGAUACCGCUGAAAC